ACGGGUGAGUAAUACAUCGGAACGUGCCCUGUAGUGGGGGAUAACUAGUCGAAAGAUUAGCUAAUACCGCAUACGACCUGAGGGUGAAAGUGGGGGACCGCAAGGCCUCAUGCUAUAGGAGCGGCCGAUGUCUGAUUAGCUAGUUGGUGGGGUAAAGGCCCACCAAGGCGACGAUCAGUAGCUGGUCUGAGAGGACGAUCAGCCACACUGGGACUGAGACACGGCCCAGACUCCUACGGGAGGCAGCAGUGGGGAAUUUUGGACAAUGGGGGCAACCCUGAUCCAGCAAUGCCGCGCGUGUGAAGAAGGCCUUCGGGUUGUAAAGCACUUUUGUCCGGAAAGGAAUCGCACUUACUAAUAUUAGGUGUGGAUGACGGUACCGGAAGAAUAAGGACCGGCUAACUACGUGCCAGCAGCCGCGGUAAUACGUAGGGUCCAAGCGUUAAUCGGAAUUACUGGGCGUAAAGCGUGCGCAGGCGGUUGUGCAAGACCGAUGUGAAAUCCCCGGGCUUAACCUGGGAAUUGCAUUGGUGACUGCACGGCUAGAGUGUGUCAGAGGGGGGUAGAAUUCCACGU
rnacentral:rRNA from 1 species